rnacentral:rRNA from 1 species
ACGUAGGGUGCAAGCGUUAAUCGGAAUUACUGGGCGUAAAGCGUGCGCAGGCGGUUAUAUAAGACAGAUGUGAAAUCCCCGGGCUCAACCUGGGAACUGCAUUUGUGACUGUAUAGCUAGAGUACGGCAGAGGGGGAUGGAAUUCCGCGUGGAGCAGUGCAUGGCGGAGAUAUGCGGAGGAACACCGAAGGCGAGGGCAAUCCCCAGGGCCUGUACUGACGCUCAUGCACGAGAGUGUCGAGAGCAAACAG